UUUAACAGGGGUGAAAUCUGUAUUUAUCAUGAAUCUUUUGGUUAAAGCACCUUUUAGGUGGUCAAAUGACUAGGAUUAGAUACCCUAUUAGUCCACUCUUAAUUAACCUGGGUAGUAGCAUUGAAACCUAAAGAAUUUGGCGGUUUCUAAACCUACUAGAGGAACCUGCUCCAUAAACGACAAUCCACGAAAAAAUUUACCCGGGCUAGUCACGCAGCUUAUAUACCGUCGUUCAGGGGACUAAAUAAAUAAAUCCCCUUAAAAGCUUAGGCUAGCAAAUCAGAUCAAGGUGUAGCUCAUGCCCGGGAGAGGGUGGGUUACAAUGAAAACUCAUACGGAAUCUCUAUUUUAUGAUAGUAAAGAAGGUGGAUUUAGAAGUAAGACCUAAUAUACUGAAAAAGGCUCUUAGAAAUGUACAC
rnacentral:rRNA from 1 species